UCAAGCAAGGUUGUAAUCCUCAGAUAUACAAACUUUAUUCUGUUAUAUAUCAAUUCUUCGACUCAUUGUCAGAUCGCGUAUUUAUCUGGCGUCAUACUGUCGUUGGCUGAACAUGCGAAGGGUCGUGUUUCUACUCGCAGAUAAUCACGGGAGAGUUCGCAUUCAAGAAUAUUUUGAAAGACGAGAAACCUUUUUACUCUCUGUUCCUUAUCUUACACACAAAUUAACUUUUGAAUUAACAUACCUCCAUUUUUAUACGUUUAAUGAUCUUUUAACAAUUAAAUCAAAAUUGUUCAACAUGUUUUAUUAUUAAAUUAUUAAAGUUAACGUGAACGUAGCAUAUCUUAACUUCUGUUCUCUCUCUCUCUCUCUCUCUCUCUCUCUCUCGUCCCCUCUCUCUUUCUCUGUCACACACGCACACACACUGAUGCUGAUACUUCGUUCAACUUGAGUGACUCUAGUACUCCGAGUACGUCAAGUUCACUCAAACAUUUAUGAGUCCCGGAGAAAUUACAUCAAAUUCGAUUUGGUAAUCAGACAAAUAGCGCAUUCCUGCGCGAGAUAAUAUAAUACGUCGCCGAAAUAUUUUCCGUCACAGAAACCAGCUGAUUGCAAAAUUAAACAACCGAGACGGGCCGCGAUAACAGAGUUUUAUCACAAAGAUAAUAAUUUUAAAGUCUGGACGUCCUCGACGAUACAAACUUGUUGCAACAUCUAAAUUUAAUUCACAACGACUGUAUUAAUUUGCACUAUAAUUUCAUUCAUAAUUUUAAAUUAAUCACCAAACUUUCUAAAAUUAUUAUUUAUUGAGACAUCAUAUCUUCUAAUACUUAAAUUACUUUUGCAAUAUUUCUAUUAGACACGGUUAUAUUAUUUAAUACAAACUGAUUUGAAGAAACGUUAGCCAAGAACUGCGAGCAGUCUUCGAUAAACAAGCCGUAUAAACAAUUGCGUAUAAGAUGAGAUGCAUGUAUACAUCGAAAUCUGCUUUCGUCGACGGAAGCGGCGCGACGGAAUGACUGCUGGGUUUACUGAUUAUUCCGAUUUGCUCAAUUUGACCCGGGCAUGAGAAGAGCCACGUGCCGAGUGUUGGUUGAAGAUUCCGCGGUGUUGCCAGUCCACUGUUGUCUUCAUUCCAACCAUUGACAUCGUUGAAGUACUGCUCGACAAGAUGGCAACGUUGACAGUGUCGCGCGAGCGUGCAGCUGGCAUGGUGCUCCGAGUCCGACGCCUAAAUCGAGAGGCAGUUUACAGUGGUCCAGCGGAUGCUGAGGAAGCUCGGGAGCUGCCGCGAGGGAACCGAUAUGGUAGCGCGGGCGAUCGUAGAAAAUGGUACGGAAGAAUGGAGAACGGAGGGUUCUGUAUCUACUCGCGCAUGGCACGCAUAUAUGCGCAUGUAUUUAUAGCUUCUCGACUAGCCGGCAUCGGGAGAAGACCACGGGACGCGUGUCUUACUCCGUGUUUGGACGCCUCCGAUAGCGGGUACCAAAAUGGCGACACGUCGCGGAAACUGCGGCCAGGUAAUACGAAACCGUUGCACUACAUUUCCCGCGGAUUAAUCACCGAUGACGCAUAUGGCUCGCCAGACUGACCUUGCACUGUGAUAUUAAUAGAUAGCAAAUCGCUGUGCAAAUACUGAUUGCGAUUGCGCUGCUACAUUGAGUUCGUCGCACUUGCUUGUUAGCUUGAAAGGUAGAAACGUCGUGACAACAUGUAUUUCAAAUCUGGCGCCACAGACACUAUAUAGCGAUUUCUCUGGUUAUGUUCGUUCGUCGGCCGCACUGUGUCACUAACUGCCAACUGUUCGGAGUGGUAAAUCGACACGUUACACGCGAGGUUUUGAGAAAAGGGAGCAGCCGGCAUCGUGACCUGUUCGCAGAGUGGAGGGGGUCUGCAAUGAUGAGACGACGCCAUUAACCUUACGUCCAACGACGCGUAUGGCACUGUUUGUCAGUUCUGCUGUUAUCCCGAGGCGAUUCGAGCAUUCGAAUCUUGGUGAUCGUGGCGGUAGGCGACGUUUCCGGAAGAAAAUCGAUUGAAGUCAUUUUUCCCGUCCGCACCCCUGAGAAAUC